UGGGGAAUUUUGCGCAAUGGACGAAAGUCUGACGCAGCAACGCCGCGUGGGUGAUGAAGGUCUUCGGACUGUAAAACCCUGUCGUCAGGGACGAAGGUGGCACGACUAAUAAUCGUGUUGCUUGACGGUACCUGGAGAGGAAGCCCCGGCUAACUCUGUGCCAGCAGCCGCGGUAAUACAGAGGGGGCAAGCGUUAUUCGGAAUUAUUGGGCGUAAAGGGCGCGUAGGCGGUUUUUUAAGUCAGAUGUGUAAUCCCCGAGCUCAACUUGGGAACUGCAUCUGAGACUGGAAGGCUAGAGUACUGGAGAGGGUGGUGGAAUUCCUCGUGUAGCGGUGAAAUGCGUAGAGAUGAGGAGGAACACCAGUGGCGAAGGCGGCCACCUGGACAGUAACUGACGCUGAGGCGCGAAAGUGUGGGUAGCAAACA
rnacentral:rRNA from 1 species